rnacentral:piRNA from 1 species
UAAGCCAGCUACCUGAUUUUAUUAAUUUGU